rnacentral:snRNA from 1 species
AGCUGCACAGCAAGGGAU